rnacentral:lncRNA from 1 species
CCUUCUGUCAAAAAGACCUUAGCUUUGCCUAUCGCUCCAGCAGUGGAGAGAGAAUUGUUUCUAAACAAUGGAAUGGUUCUGUUUCUUCCCUCCGCCACUGAAUGAACGCUUCUGCCUGCUGGCUCAAAGCUUUCUUUGUACCAGGGUUAGGAGAACUCAUAAAUGAAACGUAAAAAUGCGGCCCUUGAGGCCAUUGUCCUCAGGGAAAUUCCUGCCUAUUCAAUGAGAUGGAUGAAUGAAAGCCAUCAUUUUUUUCUCUUCUAAGCACUCAAGAAACGGCUUAUCUGCAUUUAGGAAUAGGAAGAUAAUUCAAAGCAUAGGACUAUAAAAGGAUGACUAAGAUAAAUAUCAUAGCAUCCAAGUUUAGGGUAUAAAGGAUAAGUAUCACAGUGGUACCUUCUGGUUGAUCAACGAAGCAACCGAGGCAUCUACCUCCACAGUGACUUAAGGAGUUUUUUCUCUAUGGCUUGAUUUUGAAUUUUUGGAUUUUGACCUUCAUUUAUGUAACUAAAUUUUUCUUCAGCAAAUUUCUAAAUAAGGCAUGGGUGGGCUGCUGACUUGAGAAGAACAGGCAGUUUUGAGAGAAUUUUUAGAGCCCAGCGGUGCAUGAGUGAUGUCCCAGCCCACUGCCAGACAGAAAAGGGCAAAGUUCCUCCCAGGAUGACAUACUUACUAGGAAAUGGGGAGCAACCAGUCAGCAGGUAUAACUGGAAAAGCUAACUCGUAUGCAGAAAGGUGAUUACUUCUUUUGUCAGAUAUGAUUUUUUUCCUGUGCAUAAUUGGGCUGACGAUUAUGGAGUUACUUAGUUAAUAACUGUUAAGGAUUGUGUAAGUUCCAUAACAAUCCACAAGUUAUUGUUCAUUGCCCUAUUAAGUCCUUGAUAGAAAAAUAAAACUAGCACCAACUUUUAAGGGUGUUCGUCUUUAUCUCAGUGCAAAAUUUUACUGCCCCUAAGAGAUUGUGAUGAACAGUCAAUAUGAGAAUGUAUUACACUUACUUUAGGACUUUAACUCUUAUGCACUCAAGUCCUUUCUGUAUU